rnacentral:rRNA from 1 species
AACGAACGCUGGCGGCAUGCUUAACACAUGCAAGUCGAACGAGACCUUCGAGUCUAGUGGCGCACGGGUGCGUAACGCGUGGGAAUCUGCCCUUUGCUACGGAAUAACUCAGAGAAAUUUGUGCUAAUACCGUAUAAUGUCGAAAGACCAAAGAUUUAUCGGCAAAGGAUGAGCCCGCGUAGGAUUAGCUAGUUGGUGAGGUAAAGGCUCACCAAGGCGACGAUCCUUAGCUGGUCUGAGAGGAUGAUCAGCCACACUGGGACUGCUACACGGCCCAGACUCCUACGGGAGGCAGCAGUGGGGAAUAUUGGACAAUGGGCGAAAGCCUGAUCCAGCAAUGCCGCGUGAGUGAUGAAGGCCUUAGGGUUGUAAAGCUCUUUUACCAGGGAUGAUAAUGACAGUACCUGGAGAAUAAGCUCCGGCUAACUCCGUGCCAGCCGCCGCAGUAAGAC